GUCUACGGCCAUACCACCCUGAAUGCCCCGAUCUGGUCUGAUCUCGGAAGCUAAGCAGAGUCGAGCCUGGUUAGUACUAGGAUGGGAGAAAAUGCAAAUUGACAAAGGCG
rnacentral:rRNA from 1 species